CAAUGAGUGUUUUAUGGCACUCUUUAAAAAUCCAUAUCCACCUUGUGUGCAAUGUUUGUUGGGAGAGAGGCAACUCUUUCCCUUCACAAAUAUCAACCUAUAUCUUUAGAACUUUAGUGAUUUUGUCUGAAACAUAUUAUGAAUACUUAAUUCAAAAUA
rnacentral:misc_RNA from 1 species